UUUUUAUUUGGAAAAAAUAAACUUUCCAGAUUUGCAAUUGUUUGAUUUAGCAAAACAUCAGUUCUUUUGGUUUCUUCAUGAUUGUCAAAUGAUUUCACUUAAACAUAAUCUUCCUGAAAUGGGCAUUGACUAUUCUUAUAGUUGGUUUCAAUCUAUAGCUUUUGCCUACUGUGGCGGCUAUACUGUAAAUGGAGUUUUUAAGUUCAAGAAGAGGUCAUUCUCCAAUCUUGAACCCUUUCAGCUACCCACAUACUGUAUAAAUAUCAGACAUCCUGCUGAGUCACUUGAACAUUUUGUAUUUGCAUCCCUCCCUCCACCAGUUCCACCAGCCCAUCCUUCAUUACAGGUUCAGGAGGGAGGAAGACGGGCUGUCAAUCUCCUCACCCAGAUCAUUUACCCAAAUAAAGUUCACUGUUCAGAUCACGCUCCACCUUGUUCAGGAUAGAAAGAAGUACUGAGUAGGGUGUAUAUGUACGCAUACUUUUUGUUUAUGCAGGUAGAGAGAACAUGCAUUGAAAGUAUAAGACAGGAUAUUAAAGAAGUAACCUUUCUUAGGGUAUACCAUGAAAACUGUAGAACUGGAAGAAGGAAGUUGAGUAGCUAGACUGCAUUUAGAAUAUUGUAGUUGAUUCUUGUCACUUUGUUGCAACAACAUUGCAGCUCAUAUGCCGAGAAACUGAAGAAUUCAAAUCUCUUCACUCUUGUGCAAAGAAGACUGUGAAGGGUGCUAGAGGCAAGAAUUUACUGUGUAUUACUGAAAGAUCCUGGAAGAGUCAACCCAAUGGACUACUCCAGGACCAACAUAUCCCAAGUGUUAGAAGUGCAGCAGCAGCCUGAAGCAGAGGCCACUUGUCCUUCUUCUCUCUCGAGGGGGAACGGCGGUAGCUGGAGCUGCAAGCUGGAGCACGCCACCGAGGACAGACUUCCUGGCUCAUUCUCGCAUCCGUCUGGAGGUUCUGCGCCUUCCUGAAGAGGUUUACUUCCAGGGCACCAAACAUCCUCUUUCAGCUGCCUGACAACCCGGUAGCACUUCCUCCUGCAUCCGCCAUCCUCGUCAAUGCUGCUCAUCAGGACCUGCUCUGCCCUGGAGAAGGACAGGAGCCAGUGGUAGUUCGAAGAGGCCAUCAGGGUUGAGGGGCAGCUGUAGCCCAUCCCAGUAAGCAAUGGGCACAAGGUGGGAUACCCCCCGGUUGGGACACCAGUCUGUCAGAGGACACACCAGCACAGACACGCUCAUACUCAAACUGGGGCAGCAACCGGAACACCUUGAGAAAACCCAAAAAAACAUGCAAGAACAUGCAGAGAGCACCCCAGCUCCAGAACUGAACCCCAGCGCUGUGAGGCAGCCAAACUGAUCACUGCACCUCUGUUAUUCAUGUCUUCAUGAACAAAAUUUAUUUAGAUAAAUACUGUGAUGAGGAUUUCAAUGCUUAAAGUAAUGUUUCCCUCUACCCGAAGUCACGAUUGACAUUAAUUAUAUGCAUACAUUUGGGUGUUUCAUAAAUAAAUAACGUGUGACAUCUCUGCCUUUAUGGAUUGUACUUUCUAAUUUUAACUGUAACCAUGUCUUUCUUAAGUAUAUUUGUAUCUGAAGCAAAUCCCUUGUAAUACUUUUCUGAGUUUAUUUUGAAACCAAUGCUUCUUUUGGCAAAAUGUAUAUGGAGAUAUGUAUAUCGCCAUCCAGCCACAGGUUCUAGCAAGGAUUAAGAGAUUUUUUAACCUACACAUUUUUUAAGCCUACACAUAAGAGGCCUUGCAAGGGGGUUUAAACUCACAUUCUUGAAUAUUAAUGGAGGUACUGUAUGUUUUAGAAUAAAAUAUCUCUUCUAGCAGUAGAGACGUAAA